UACGGAGGGUGCGAGCGUUGUCCGGAAUCAUUGGGCGUAAAGGGCGCGUAGGUGGCCCGGUCAGUCCGUGGUGAAAGCGCGGGGCUCAACCCCGCGUCGGCCAUGGAUACUGCUGGGCUCGAGCACUGUAGAGGCAGGCGGAAUUCCGGGUGUAGCGGUGGAAUGCGCAGAUAUCAGGAGGAACACCAAUAGCGAAGGCAGCUCGCUGGGACGGUACUGACGCUAAGGCGCGAAAGCGUGGGGAGCGAACAGG
rnacentral:rRNA from 1 species